UACGAAGGGGACUAGCGUUGUUCGGAAUCACUGGGCGUAAAGCGCACGUAGGCGGAUUCGUAAGUCAGGGGUGAAAUCCCGGGGCUCAACCUCGGAACUGCCUUUGAUACUGCGGGUCUUGAGUCCGAUAGAGGUGGGUGGAACUGCGAGUGUAGAGGUGAAAUUCGUAGAUAUUCGCAAGAACACCAGUGGCGAAGGCGGCUCACUGGCCCGAUACUGACGCUGAGGCACGAAAGCGUGGGGAGCAACAGGAUUAAGAA
rnacentral:rRNA from 1 species